rnacentral:snRNA from 1 species
UACUUCUGUCCUGUGCUCAGAUCGGAUAAAUCUUUCGCCUUUUACUAAAGAUUUCCGUGGUUGCGGGACAUUAAGGAAGUUUACCCUAAUUUUUUGUUAACCCUUUUUUUACUAUAAGAA